rnacentral:rRNA from 1 species
AUGGUUUUCGGUGGCGGCUUCAAAUUUUUAGUGGGAGUGGGAUGUGGCGUCUAUGUGGCUCAGAACUACAACGUUCCAAAUGUCAAGAAGCUGUUCAACACGUAUGUUUUCCUGGCAAAGCACGUUGAGGAAACGUACCGUAAGCCGCCGAAGAAAGACGACGACUGA